UAUAUAUAUGUAUAUGAAUGGAACGAUAACAUGAAAUCUUUCUUUCCGUUUAUUCUACCCCUCUUAUUUGUUUCGAGAUAUGGUUAUUGGUUGCGGGAUUAUUCUAAUCGGUCCUUACGUACUUGACAAUUGAGAAAAGAUACACAACAUUUUUGGUUAGAGAUUUGUAAAUGAAAUUAAAUGCAAAUGAACACGGUGCUGAUGCUAACAUUAAUCCGCAGCUGUUGUGACUCAUAUUGAAGAUUGAGUUAUGUGCUUCGGAUUACUCAUAACAACACUUGCUGCAGAGCUAUUGGAGCAUUUUAUAUGUAGUGACUGCAUAUCUUGCUCAGUUUUAAGAGUGAUUUAUUGGAGCAUUUAUGUAGAAGUUGUCUUGAAGAGAAUUGUGAAACCAUUUGAAUUGUCUAGUUUACAACUUAAUAGAUUUGUAAUAAUAAUGUACUUUGUAAAUUUGCAAUGGGCAUGAAUAUUAUAUGCAUAAUUUUUCUUUUGUUUAUAAAAUUUCAAUUUUAUUCUGAUGUA